UACGUAGGGUGCAAGCGUUAAUCGGAAUUACUGGGCGUAAAGCGUACGCAGGCGGCUUUGCAAGACAGGUGUGAAAUCCCCGGGCCUAACCUGGGAACUGCAUUUGUGACUGCAUGGCUAGAGUUUGUCAGAGGGGGGUGGAAUUCCACGUGUAGCAGUGAAAUGCGUAGAUAUGUGGAGGAACACCAGUGGCGAAGGCGACUCUUUGGCCUGUAACUGACACUGAGGCGCGAAAGCGUGGGGAGCAAACAGG
rnacentral:rRNA from 1 species